rnacentral:rRNA from 1 species
AGCGAACGCUGGCGGCAGGCCUAACACAUGCAAGUCGAACGAACCUUUCGGGGUUAGUGGCGGACGGGUGAGUAACACGUGGGAACGUGCCUUUAGGUUCGGAAUAACUCAGGGAAACUUGUGCUAAUACCGAAUGUGCCCUUCGGGGGAAAGAUUUAUCGCCUUUAGAGCGGCCCGCGUCUGAUUAGCUAGUUGGUUGAGGUAAUGGCUCACCAAGGCGACGAUCAGUAGCUGGUCUGAGAGGAUGAUCAGCCACAUUGGGACUGAGACACGGCCCAAACUCCGACGGAAGGCAGCAGUGGGGAAUCUUGCGCAAUGGGCGAAAGCCUGACGCAGCCAUGCCGCGUGAAUGAUGAAGGUCUUAGGAUUGUAAAAUUCUUUCACCGGGGACGAUAAUGACGGUACCCGGAGAAGAAGCCCCGGCUAACUUCGU